UUGACGGAAGCCAAAAAGAGGCUUAUCACUGUUAAUGAUAGAACUGAAUUCCUUCCCAUCAAA
rnacentral:tRNA from 1 species